UACGUAGGGUGCGAGCGUUGUCCGGAAUUAUUGGGCGUAAAGAGCUCGUAGGCGGCCUGUCACGUCGGAUGUGAAAACCCGGGGCUCAACCCCGGGCCUGCAUUCGAUACGGGCAGGCUGGAGUUCGGCAGGGGAGACUGGAAUUCCUGGUGUAGCGGUGAAAUGCGCAGAUAUCAGGAGGAACACCGGUGGCGAAGGCGGGUCUCUGGGCCGAUACUGACGCUGAGGAG
rnacentral:rRNA from 1 species